CCCAGGCUGUGCUAUAUCAUAGCUUACUGUAACCUUGAACUCCUGGCCUCAAGCGAUCCUCCUGCCUCAACCUCCCAAGUAGCUGGGACUGCAGGCCUGCAACAGCACCUGGCCCAGCCACUGACUGUCUUAUGUCAUAUAGCAAUGAUCACUAAGGUAAAGUCUAUACAAACUGUAGAAUAGUUGUCAUUCUUUACCCAACCUGGGGACACAAGUUAAAAACCUAGUAUUUUUUUUUUUUUUUCUGUACCAAAACAAUCAUCUUCCUUUAUUUUCCCUGGAGCGGGAAGAGGAGAGUGGAGAGGAAGGGAGGAAUGCAAGGUGUCACUUUGAACUUCUCGUUCACCACACACGUGGGAUUCCACUCUCAUGUCAUCAGCCUCCAUGCACAGGCCCCAGGUGAAAGAAACAGAGUUCUAGUUGGACCAGCUAACACUGCCUGCCUUGUGUUUAUAAAAGGCACCUGCCUCUGUGGUGUGAUUUCAGGGGAGCCAGACGGAGCUGGGGCCAUGAACCUGUAUCCUGCAUCCUAACCACUUAUCCAUGCAUGAGGCUAACUGGAAACUCACUUGCUGGGUACAGAUAGCUUCUGUGAUGCUCAUGCUUGACUUCCAAAGGAACAUGUUUCAGGAAAGGCAAUUGCCUUCAUUAUGGUCUUUGAUAAGCAGGAAGAAGUUUGUUGUUCCUUUUUUUUCUUAAUGUCCUACUUUGUGCAACAUACAUCCAAUCAGUCAUAUCCUAUUGACACUACCCCUAAAUAUCUGUGGGCCUGGCCUAUGCCCAGGGCACUGCCUUCAUUCAGUUAUUGCACUUGCCUGCUGCCUGUGCUCCUGGUCUCCUGUUUGGACUCCCUCAGGUCAGCAGCCACACUACUGCCAAAAUUCAGUAGAAAAUUAACUUCAGGUAAAGCACAAUUCCAAACCUAACACUGCCCCCUCAAAAGCCUCUCUGUAACCUUCAGAAUAAAGGCCAUAUUAUUUGACAAGACA